ensembl:processed_transcript Gm7457 predicted gene 7457
AGGAAUGCAGAACCCGUUACUGAGCAGAUUUUAAAAUGUUUUCCCUAGCUAGCAAAAGAAACUUGACUUGAUGAACCAGACAAUAUAUAUAUAUAUUUUUUUUUCCAUUUGCACAGGCUAGCCUCAAGCUCACAGUCCUCCCGUCUCAGCAUGCUUGGUGCUGAAGUGAGUAGCUUACGCCAUCAGGUUCAGCCCUGUUCUGCUUCGGCAAUCCUUUCCACCUCUUUCCUAAUCUCCUGCCGUUUUCCUUUACUCUCACUUGCACACUGAUGCUUGGUGGCUCUCACUACAGGGAGAGAUCUUCAAGGCCGAGUUCAGGAUCGAAUCAUCUUUACAGUCCCCAGAGAAGUCGUGGCGCAAUGCACUGUCUACAGUGAAAAACAAUCAAAUUGUACAACCCGAGAAGAAGAGCUGAUGGUGGCCGGGUUCCUAGAGAGAUGCGUUCAGAUGCAGUUUGUCAUGGACUCAGAAGUGCCACUAAAGGUGAGGGAAGAGUAUGACAGCCUUGUGACAGUCCCACUGAAUAAACGCUUUUAAAUCUAGUAACAGGGGAUUGGUGUAACUGUGCACUUGUCAUGGAAGACUGCCAAGAUGUCCAUCUGUCAGUGCCUUCUUGUUCUAAUGUGUGUAUGUGGGUGUGGCUAUGUGUAUGUGGGUGUGUGGGCAUACAGAUGUGUACAGAGCUCAGAGGACAAUUCAAGGGUCAUCCUGAGAGCACCACCCAGCUCCUUUAAGAACUCUUCUCUCUUUGUCUUGGAGCUCACAUUAGGCUAGGCUGGAAGGCUCCUCCAGGGAUACUCUUGUCUCUCCCUCCUUGGUGAUCACAGGAACACAGCACAGUGCUCUGCAUGGUAUAUGGGUGCUGGGGAUCGAACUUGGGUCCCUGUGGUUGCGAGGCCAGCACUUUACUGACUGAACCACCAUCCCCUAGCCCAUGUUGCCAGUGCCUUUUUAAUAUGUUUAUACAGCUCUCUCUCUCUCUCUCUCUCUCUCUCUCUCUCUCUCUCUCUAGUGGUAGGUGAUUAAUUUGGAGAGAUGAUAAAAUCUAGACAGAGAUUUCUCAGUCACAUUGAUGACAGUAAAGGCAUUAAGAAUACAAUUAUGGGCACCAGCUCUAUAACUCAGCCUAUUGCUAUGAAAAUAUGUCUGACUGCCAGUGACCAGCAAUUAUCUUCCUCCAUUUAAUCUAAAGCCACAUGGUAUUUUAAAAAUGAAACUCCUUUCAAAACUGCCUCUGCCUAUAAAUGUCAACGGGUGGGGCAGCUUUUCCUUCUGCACCACACAGUUCGACUUAUGCUGCGGUUCACGUUCACGUGCAUUCAAUGUUAAAGGACAAGGAAAUGCUCAUCCAAGGCACCUUGUCAACCCUGGCCAGCCCUGCGGUGACCUUCGGCUCAGAACCCGGGUUUGAGCCUUCAAGGGCAGCAAGAGCCUCAGUCAGCAGCUUUCCAGGUCCCAAGCUUGUCUAAGGAGAGGCAGAUUGAAAGCUCUCAGAAACCUGCCUUCUCAGAAACCUACCAUCCUCGGGAAGGGCUAAGCCAAGGAAAACAACACACCUGAACAAAAAAGCUCAUCUGUCACUUAACACUCGGUCCUUGUUUAAUUUUUACUCAGCCUAAGGCAGGUCUUGCUGGCCUGCUAUAGAUCUGUCUGGCCCUGAAGAAUGUCUCUGAAGUGCUGGGGUCACACGCUUGCACCACCCAACCUGGCUGGAUUCAGACUUUAAAAUAGGGGUGCACCGUAGGGGCAGUGGGGCUCCCGAUCUGGUUGUAAAAUGCUACAUGUUAAACAUCAAGAGAGCAAAUGAACGGGUUACAAAUGGUUUCUAGGACUGAAG